UGGCUAUCCUAGUAAGUAAGCAAGCGAAGAAGAUGGGGGGAGCUGACGGCGAGGUCAAAGGCACACUGUGGGCUGUGUGGCUAUCCUAGUAAGUAAGCAAGCGAAGAAGAUGGGGGAGCUGACGGCGAGGUCAAAGGCACACUGUGGGCUGUGUGGCUAUCCUAGUAAGUAAGCAAGCGAAGAAGAUGGGGGGAGCUGACGGCGAGGUCAAAGGCACACUGUGGGCUGUGUGGCUAUCCUAGUAAGUAAGCAAGUGAAGAAGAUGGGGGGAGCUGACGGCGAGGUCAAAGGCACACUGUGGGCUGUGUGGCUAUCCUAGUAAGUAAGCAAGCGAAGAAG